ensembl:lncRNA
AGCUGUGGUGUAGGUCGCAGACAUGGCUCGGAUCCUGCCUUCUUUGUGGCUGUGGUGUAGGACGUUAGCUGUAGCUCUGAUUCGACCCGGAGCCUGGGAUAAGCCGUGGUGGGUGCGGCCCCAAAAAGCAACAGAAAGAAAGAAUGAACUGCUGGUAGAAAUGACAACUUACCCUGCCAUUUCUCCCCCAACGCUUGCCAUAUAGAAUGCUGACUGAAAAGAAAUAAACACAUUUUGGUGUGUUCUUCCAGGAAGAAUGGCCCAGUGGCGCAAAUUGUUCCUCUUUAAGUUGUGAUGCUGUUUACGAACAGUCAGUAUUUAACCUCUCAUCCUUGGAGCCAGGAACUAUUUACUUGCAGAAAAUAUCAAAUGUGAAAGGUAUAAAGAUUUAGGGUCAGGCAUGCUAGAUUCAGUCGGUCUGCUUUUUUUUCACUGUUCUUUGCUUUUUUGUUCGCUUUUUUUUUUUUUUUUUUUUUUUUUUUUUUUUUUUUUUUUUUUUUUUUCUGUAGCCAGUGAUUUGAAGAGGAUUAAACUUGGUAGAAUCACAUUAUUACAUUUGUUUCCCCCUGUUGUUUAGCUGUUGGGAAUUUUAGCAGCAGUGCUUGUUCUAAUUCACAGACCGUCUCAAUUCUAAGGUAGGGUAGUUUGAAAACCACUGACUGAGUAGUCAGCCUCUUCAGCUUUGCUUUGUAGGGGGAGUAGUGAGAUUUGGUUCUGGUUUUGAUUGGUAACUCUUCAGGUGUUUGCUAGCACUUCAUUCUGGCUUUCCGUUUGUGUGUGGCCAGGUGGUUAUACUAAGGAAAUUUCCAGCAGGAUGCACAUUUCUGAGGAGUAUGAAGAAUAUUGUCCCGGAGACAAAUAGAUUAUUAUGAGGACUUUAUGCUCAAUAUGGAAGGAAAGGGGGAGAAUGACUAAGUGAAACUCUAAAAUUAUGAAGGGCAUGUAGUCUGUCAUAGACGGGUUGGCAGACCUUUCCUGUGAAGAGCCAGAUAGGACAUAGUUUUGGCUUUGUUGCCCAAAAUCAGUUCUGUCUGUGUAGCAUGAAAAUAGCAUUAGACAAUACCAAAUGAGUGAGCAUUGCUGAAAUUUGAAUUUCAUGUAAAUUCUUUACCUGUCUUGAAAUUUCCUUUUCAUUUGAGUUUGAGUUUACCCCUAAUCAUUAAAGAAAUGUGCAUUCGUUGACCACUGAGCCAUGACGGAAACUCAUGAUAUUUUUAUAUUUGUCUUCUACUUGGCUGGGAGCUACUUGAGAGCAGAAACUGUCUUUCUUUCCUAUCCCUGACAGUCUCUGACACAUAGGAAGCCUUAGCUAAAAGAGAAAAGCAAGGCUUAGAAUGAAUAAUUUUCCUAAGGUCACAUAGCUAGUGUAUGGCAGAGCCAGAAGGAGCAUCCAGAUCCUUAACCACUCAACAAUUAUAAAGAAGAAACACUGCAUGAGUGUCAGGAGACCCAAGGACUAGCCUUUAGUUGGUGGCUCUUGUGUUGAUUUUCCCUAGGUGAGAUUCUUUACCUUUAUCAUAUUUUGUUCUCAUUUGUAAUGCUCUUUUUAAGGCCAUCAAUUGAAGGUUAUUUUUGUUUACGUUUCUUCCAAGGAAAUUGAAAAAGUCUCAAUUCCCUAUAGAUUUCUUUUGAGAUAAGUGGCUGAAGAGAGCUGUUGGCUAUAAUGAAGGUAUCAAGAAUUUCCUGCUCUAGCUCAAGAGUGUCCCUCCUAUGAGUAGUUCAGACUCGGUGCCCUGUAGGGCCCUUUUGGGUCUUAUAUUCCAAGUGUUUGUACCUCACCUGUAUGCUGUCCCUCGGUGACUGCACCACCCUUUAUUCUCCCUUUCCGUCAUCUGCCGGUUGAGAUGUGACUUUCCUCAGCGGGUUUGGUGAGGAACACCAGCCUUGAAGGAGUGACACCUUCUGCUCUCCAUGGUCCUGAAAAGAUGUCCCUGGGUUUCCUGAAAGUUUCUGUUUCCUGAGUACAGAUUUGAAUUUUUAUUUGUUUUUGAAGAAAAAGGAGAUGACAGAUGAUCUGUUAAUGAGUUACUGGAAACCACAGGAGAAUAAAAGGUACUGUCCAGGUGGUAGAGACAGAUCUUCUGUUCUUUCGCGUUUCUCCAUUUCUCCGUUUUGUAGUCUUUUUCCUUUGGCUGCCUCAGUGUGUCCAACUCUGCUUCUCUUGUUGCUGAGGUCUCAGACCUUAUGAUUUACUCCAGAGGUGCUGGCAAGACUGAGCUCAGAUUUAGGAUUAAGGACAUUAGGACUGCAGAAGGAUUAGGUAGGCUUCGGGAUUGAUCUGUCAGAGAGACUUCAGGAACUCCGUAUCUCUCCCACUCAGACUUUUGUCCUCUCUGCGAUCAACACAGUGUUGUCAAUGAUCAUACCCUGAUUUCCCUUCAGCGAAUCCCUAAGGAACUAGAAUGUCUUCCCUGAGAAUUCCACUGCUUAGGAGGUGACCCAGAAGUGAUAGCCCCUCCAGUCCUCUCCCUGUUCCCAUAGAGCACCUUAGAGAGAUUCCAAAGGGAGGUUCCUAAGGGUCAGGACCCUUAGGAUGUGAAAUUACUAGAUUCGAUCUUGGGAGGUAAUCUCUACAUGGAGCAUCUGGAUUGCUGCUUUCUCUUUUUCUCUCAUCUUCCUUCUUCCUUUUUAGUCUCUGCAUUUCCUUUUUCUUUAAAAAGCAAUUUUUUUUUUUUUUUUGGUCUUUUUAGUUUUGCACCUGCAUGCAUGGAGAUUCUCAGGCUAGGGGUCCAACCGGAGUUGCUGGCUUAGGCCACAGCCACAGCAGCUCGGGAUCUAAGCCAUGCUCACAGCAACCCUGGAUUCUUAACUCACUGAGCGAGGCCAGGGAUCGAACCUACAACCUCAUGGAUACUAGUCGGAUUGGUUUCUGCUGUGCCAUGAUGGGAACUC